rnacentral:pre_miRNA from 1 species
CAUGUUUGACUAUUCGUCUUAUUCAAAAAAUUUACGUAAUUAUAAUUUAUUUUGUUAUGAGUUGUUUUAUCACUCAUAGUACUUUAAGCGUGAUUUAUAUCUUAUACAUUUGCAUAAAAUUUUUGAAUAAGACGAAUGGUCAAACAUG